ensembl:lncRNA
AUCUCUAUUUAGAGACUGCUUCUUUCUGGUAUUUUUCUAGGAAGCACUUAUCUUUGGAGCAAGUUUUAAAGUAUUAUAUCUCAGGCUGGAGAAAUGGUCAGGCUGAAACUUCAUUAUGUUCAACAAGGACAAGGGCAAUGACCUGCAUCUGGAGAGGAACAACCCCGCACACGCAUAUAUGCUGGAGACUGCUCAGCUGGAAAGCAGCCUUGCAGAAUAGGACCAGCAGGUCCUCGUGAACAUGAAGUUGAACAUAAUGCAAUGAAGAGUGACAAGGACAUGUUGGUGAGACUGUCCCUAGCAGGUCAAGGGGAGUCAUCCUGCUUCUCUACUCAGCACUGAUGAUGCACAUCUUAAGUGUGGCAUACAGCAGUGGGUUCCCAGAACUGGAAAGACAGUGAAGUGACUGAACCAUAUCUUCUAUGGGGAAAGGCUGAGAGAGUUGGGGACUGUUUGGAGAAGGGAAAGCUCAUGGAAAAAUCUGUCUGGUGUGUAUAAAUACCUAAAGGGAGGGUGCAAAGAAAAUGGAGCCAGGCUCUUCUUCGUGGUGCCCUGUGUCAGGAUAGGAGGCAAUAGUUAUAAACUGACAAGCAGGAUGUUCCCUGUUACCAUGAGGAAACACUUAUUUUCUUUGAGGGUGACUGAGCCCUGGGGGCAUGUUGCCCAGACAAGCUGUGGUGUCUCUGUCCUUGGAGAUGUUCAAAAGCCAACUGGAUGUGGUACUGGGCAACUGGCUCUGAGUGGCUUUGCUGGGACAGGGGCUGUACAGGUGGCCUCCACCCUUAGUGACUCUGACUCUGUGCAGAAGGCUGGAGAGCAUAUGGGAAGGUCCUUACAGGUUAACACCCACGUGCAAUUUUCCCUUGCUGUGAGAAGGUUGCAGUGCAUGCAACUCUGCUGACUUUAGCUGUUGCUUUAGGAGUCAGGGAGUCAGAAUCACAAACAGAGCCUUGUUAUCUACAGGUCAGGUGCAACAUUUUAUUUUAUUGUUUGACAGAGGCAGUUUCUAUGGGUAUUGUGUAUUUUUCUACUGUAAGUCAACUAAUUGCUGAAAGCUAUGUUACACAGUAAUCAGGAGAGGCUCUAUGAGAAGUAGCUGAGGCAUCUGGCUUCAUCAGCCUGGACAAGAGAUGAUCUUGGCAGGCUGUAACAGUGCUCUCAGUAUCUCAAGAAGGCUAUUAAUAGGCAAGAGCCAGGAUGUUCGCAGUAAUGUGUGGUGGAAGGACAAAAGACAACAGGAGUAAGCUUAAAGGAAAGGCUGAAAUUAAGAAUAUUUUUCCCUCUAAGGGCAGUCUAGCAACGGGACAGCUUGCAUGGAGAGGUUGUGCAGUUUCCAUUUUUGGAUGUUUUCAAGGCCAGUGUGGAUCUUCCAUAACUUUUUUUGACCUCAUGUUUACCUGCUUUGAUCAAGAGGUUGAACCACAAAUGUUCUGAGGUUCCGUCUGAUCUGAACUACUCCAGGAAACAGAACGAUUGAGAUGAACCUUCUAGAGGAGCAUAAGUAUAUCAGUAGCCAUCGUGCUACUACUUGAGUGAGCCUAUAGGGAGGACCAAUGCUGACCAAUUCCAAAUGAUGCCUCUUACCAGACCAAGGUUUGCUGAGAUAAAGGACUAUUUGCCCACAGGAAAUUCACAAUGCUGGGUCAUCAUAUUUAUUUAUUUAUUUGUAAUUGCUCAGUAAUUUCUUACCAUUUGCAUGGGAAUUGCUAGGUCAUGGCCUGAACCGAUGACUGAGCACCUGGUGAGAAGGUGUGGCUAACCCAGGGAGCUCGGGUGCAAGCAGAGUUCCUAAGAGACUGGAAUAGGUGGACCUGGGGUCCCCCCCUCCUUACCCUCAUUUAAGAGUUAGCAGCUGAGGGAGCAACAUCUACCUUCAUAAACUGUGUUCUUCUCAAGAUGUCACCAGUCUUUGGAAAGGAUGAGACACCUUCUAUACUGUGUUCUAAAUUAAAUCUUAACAAGUACCUU